AAUGAACGUUGGCGACGUGGAUUAGGCACGCAAGUCGAGCGAGAACCGUAGCAAUACGGGGACAGCGGCGAAAGGGACAGUAAUGUGUAGGUACCUACCCCUGGGUUCGGGAUAGCUGCGGGAAACUGCAGGUAAUACCGAAUAACGUCUACGGACCAAAGGUGUGAUUCCACCUGGGGAGGGGCCUGCAUCCUAUUAGCUUGUUGGCGGGGUAAUGGCCCACCAAGGCAACGAUGGGUAGCGGGUGUGAGAGCACGACCCGCGUCAUUGGGACUGAGAUACUGCCCAGACACCUACGGGUGGCUGCAGUCGAGGAUCUUCGGCAAUGGGCGAAAGCCUGACCGAGCGACGCCGCGUGCGGGAUGAAGGCCUUCGGGUUGUAAACCGCUGUCGUAGAGGAGGAAAUGCAGGGGGGUUCUCCCCUUUGCUUGACCUAUUCUAGGAGGAAGUACGGGCUAAGUUCGUGCCAGCCGCCGCCGUAA
rnacentral:rRNA from 1 species